rnacentral:ncRNA from 1 species
AACAGGGGCGCCGAAAGGCUGAGACGCGAUUAUAUGCGGACCCUCUUACCUGAUACGGGUAAUACCGGCGUAGGGAGUUACAUAG